CGGGACGUGGCUCAGCCUGGUAGAGCACUGCGUUCGGGACGCAGGGGUCGCAGGUUCAAAUCCUGUCGUCCCGACCA
rnacentral:tRNA from 1 species